rnacentral:rRNA from 1 species
UGGGGAAUAUUGCACAAUGGGCGCAAGCCUGAUGCAGCAACGCCGCGUGAGGGACGACGGCCUUCGGGUUGUAAACCUCUUUUAGUAGGGAAGAAGCGAAAGUGACGGUACCUGCAGAAAAAGCACCGGCUAACUACGUGCCAGCAGCCGCGGUAAUACGUAGGGUGCGAGCGUUGUCCGGAAUUAUUGGGCGUAAAGGGCUCGUAGGCGGUCUGUCGCGUCUGCUGUGAAAACCCGAGGCUCAACCUCGGGCCUGCAGUGGGUACGGGCAGACUAGAGUGCGGUAGGGGAGAAUGGAAUUCCUGGUGUAGCGGUGGAAUGCGCAGAUAUCAGGAGGAACACCGAUGGCGAAGGCAGUUCUCUGGGCCGUAACUGACGCUGAGGAGCGAAAGCGUGGGGAGCGAACAGGAUUAGAUACCCUGGUAGUCCACGCCGUAAACGUUGGGCGCUAGAUGUGGGGCACCAUUCCACGGUUUCCGUGUCGCAGCUAACGCAUUAAGCGCCCCGCCUGGGG